AGGACGAACGCUGGCGGCGUGCUUAACACAUGCAAGUCGAGCGGAAAGGCCCUUCGGGGUACUCGAGCGGCGAACGGGUGAGUAACACGUGAGUAAUCUGCCCCUAGCUCUGGGAUAGCUCCGGGAAACCGGGAUUAAUACCGGAUACGACCACUUUAGACAUCUGUUGUGGUGGAAAGAAUUUGGCUAGGGAUGAGCUCGCGGCCUAUCAGCUUGUUGGUGGGGUAACGGCCUACCAAGGCGACGACGGUA
rnacentral:rRNA from 1 species